GAUGAACGCUGGCGGCGUGCCUAAUACAUGCAAGUCGAGCGAACAGACGAGGAGCUUGCUCCUCUGACGUUAGCGGCGGACGUGUGAGUAACACGUGGAUAACCUACCUAUAAGACUGGGAUAACUUCGGGAAACCGGAGCUAAUACCGGAUAACAUGUUGAACCGCAUGGUUCAACAGUGAAAGACGGUCUUGCUGUCACUUAUAGAUGGAUCCGCGCCGCAUUAGCUAGUUGGUAAGGUAACGGCUUACCAAGGCAACGAUGCGUAGCCGACCUGAGAGGGUGAUCGGCCACACUGGAACUGAGACACGGUCCAGACUCCUACGGGAGGCAGCAGUAGGGAAUCUUCCGCAAUGGGCGAAAGCCUGACGGAGCAACGCCGCGUGAGUGAAGACGGUCUUCGGAUCGUAAAACUCUGUUAUUAGGGAAGAACAAAUGUGUAAGUAACUAUGCACGUCUUGACGGUACCUAAUCAGAAAGCCACGGCUAACUACGUG
rnacentral:rRNA from 1 species